UUAAAUUUACAUAAGAGUUGCAAUAAAGUACAAAAGCCCUCCGAUGCCCUUCAUUCAGUAAUUUUCUUCUUCUCUUUUCUUUCCUUUAUUUAUUACCCUUCUCCCUUCUCCUUCUCUCCUUCUUCUUCAUGUUCUUCUCACUGUUAUUUUUUUAAUAAUGCAUACAUUAAUGUCUCUUUAUCCCUAUACUAUAGCGUAUAUUUUCUCUCUCCAUUGUUUUUGUUUGUUUGUUUUUUUUUUUUAUAGCAAUAAUACUUGAAGAAUGGUUUGACUGGGUAUGCAAUUCUUAGGCUUUUGAAAAUGCUCCUCCAUUAUUGCCUUGCCUUGUAUGUUGUUUCUGAGACAGGUGAUAAUAAUCUUUUCCCCUUGUAAGUUAUUUGAUCUUUUCCCUAGAGGUCUGCAGGCAUUUUCUUUAUCUUCCAACUUUAAUAUUUUUUCUAAGAUAUGGCUUGGAGUUUAACAUUUUGUUAAAUUUUCCUGGUAGUAAGAUGACCCUAUUGUUAUGUACAUUCAGGUCUUCUAUUCCCAGAAAGUAUUAUUAAAUUAUAG
rnacentral:lncRNA from 10 species